UCUGCUUCGACUCAUUCUCGACUUUUCCUCUAACUCUCCUUCACUUUGCGGUCUUCUCUCAUCUCUCACUCUUUCUCAUGCUUUCUUUCUCUACCCAAGAAGCCUUCCAUCCAUUUCGAUCUCUCCCACAAACCCUUAUGUUGCUAAAGCUUGCCUUCCCUCGCUCUCCGAUCUCGAUUUCUCUCUCACUUUCCUGCUGAAAAAGACCAACCCAGUAGAAAUUUCUCCAGUUCUCUCUCUCAAAAACUAUAAAUCACAGUGGCCAAACUCUAGAAAAAUAAAAAUAAAUAAAUAAAUGGAAUUCGAAAAGCCAUUUGCUUUUCCUUGGAUUUGGGUUUUCCUUCGAUUUCUACACUGUCCAAAACUAGCGGCGUGGAUCAAGCUAGGGUUUUCUCUGAGUCGCGAUUGUUGCUCUGUCCUCCGCCGUCCGUCACUGUUUGUUGCUGAAAAAUUGCGGCUACAAGUUUUUUCAGAUUUUCCAAUUUCGUUGCCAAAAAAAAAAAAAAAAAAAAAACUCCGACGACCAGCGUUUUGUGCCCAUGGUAUAAUCAGUUUCUACUCAAAGUCUAGAAAUCAAAGGACCCCAAAUUUGCCAGAAAACGAGUAGAGAGCAAGGAGAAUUGACCCCAGUUAGCUCCAACCUUGCGGUAAACGAGGGCUACUCUACUGUUUAUGCAGCAGGGGAAGGGAAGGGAAGUAAAAAUUAUAAGCAAAUGCGUAUAAGUUACAAGCUUUUAAUUAAAAAUAGAAAUGGAGUGACAACAAACAAAAUAUAGGGAUUAAGUUCAUUUAAGUAUGGGUCGUUUUGUAUUUGAAAUCUGAAAGGAGAAACAGAAAUUACAAGAAGAAGAGGAAGAUUGCGUUCCGAUCAUGGCCUUCUCUUCCUGCUCUUUAUCCAAAUCCUGACAAGUUAGUUACUCAACCUUCACUUCUCAUCCGUCUCCUUUUUU